AGUAGAGACGUCACGCAAGGAAAGGAGACACAGACACGCAGCGGUCCCACAAAUAUGUAUGUGUGCCCUGUGUGAGCCUGGUGCCUGUGGAGGUCAGAAAUGGGCAUCAUAUCCCCUAAACUGGCGUUAGGGAUGGAUAGCUGUGAACCACCAUCUGGAUUCUAGAAACCAAAAUUGGGUGCUCUGAAAACUACCAAGGCUACACCCAUCUUGACCGAGAGAAGCCUCCUUUUGCAAUGAGCUGUGGUUAAUGCAGACUCGUGACUUCUCGGGGUGCUGAGAGUUGAGUGGGAAGCCCUAACCAAGACAUCUAUACCAUCCACCUAAGGCUCAGGAAACAUUGAAGAAAAGGGGCAGGACAAAUGUUAGAAUAUUGUUUUAUACUGAAGAUGAACAAUUGAAAAUCAAAUCUGCUGUAUGGUCAUUUAUUGCGAAGUUACAUGCAAGAUGUGUCUUACCUCAGAAGACAAGUCUUGGACCACAACCAGUCAAUUCUGUCCGGCAGUCUCGUGGCCUGUCCACCUCCAGCUGCCCUUCACAGCAGCUGGGAUUUCUUCAAUGUACCAGUUCUUCCUCAGGGGCUAGUAUAACCACUUCCUGCACCCAUACCACCUCCUUAUCUAACGUUUUCCCUUUUUUAGAAGAAUAUUUAUUCCUUGUUAGCCCUGGAUUUCUCUCAAAGAGCGAGUCAUGUGUGUGGGAGAAGUGCCCUGAGCUGGCUAGGUGUCCUGGGAGACAAGGGGGAAGACUCUGCCUACCUUCUUCCUGUGGGAACAGCCUGAGACAUGGGCUGAGACAUGGGUCCAAGAUGCCUGCCACCUUCAGUGUUUGCCAUCAUGCUGUGGGGCUUGCAGUGGUUGCUUCUAUAUCCCGCUGACCAAAAUACCUAACAGAAACAACUGGAGGGAGGGGAGAUUUAAGUUGACUCACAGUUUCGGGGUGAGUCCGUGGAUUCUUGGCCUCACACUCUUGACAGAGCAUCGUGGCAGCAAGAACACAUGACAGAGGCUGUUUUUCCCUUCUUGGCAGACAAGAGGCAGAGACAAGUAUGGAUACAGAGAAGGUCAGGAUGAGCUCCAACUCCUAAGGACAAUGACUUCCUAAGGUCAAUUACCUACCUCCUCCAAACAGGCCUCACCUGCGACCUUUGAGCACCUCCAUAACAGAUGAAUGCAUCUGUGAAAUCAGAGCCUUCGAAAUCUAAUUGGCUCCCGAGAAGCCAUCAAGACACACUCAGGGGUGUGUUUCACUAAUCCCCCAGGUGUUUCUUAAUCCAGGCAAAUUGAGAAUCAAAAUUAAUGCUCAUAUUACCACUCAGAAAUCUACCUUUUUGGAAGUUAAUCUAAGAAGUUACAUUCUAAGGAUGGGCUAUCCAUGCCGUGGUUGCUGCUA